GACGAACGCUGGCGGCGUGCUUAACACAUGCAAGUCGAACGGAAAGGCCCUGCUUUUGUGGGGUGCUCGAGUGGCGAACGGGUGAGUAACACGUGAGUAACCUGCCCUUGACUUUAGGAUAACUUCAGGAAACUGGGGCUAAUACCGGAUAGGAGCUCCUGCUGCAUGGUGGGGGUUGGAAAGUUUCGGCGGUUGGGGAUGGACUCGCGGCUUAUCAGCUUGUUGGUGGGGUAGUGGCUUACCAAGGCUUUGACGGGUAGCCGGCUUGAGAGGGUGACCGGCCACAUUGGGACUGAGAUACGGCCCAGACUCCUACGGGAGGCAGCAGUGGGGAAUAUUGCACAAUGGGCGGAAGCCUGAUGCAGCAACGCCGCGUGCGGGAUGACGGCCUUCGGGUUGUAAACCGCUUUCGCCUGUGACGAAGCGUGAGUGACGGUAAUGGGUAAAGAAGCACCGGCUAACUACGUG
rnacentral:rRNA from 1 species